rnacentral:rRNA from 1 species
GAUGAACGCUGGCGGCGUGCCUAAUACAUGCAAGUCGAGCGAAUGGAUUAAGAGCUUGCUCUUAUGAAGUUAGCGGCGGACGGGUGAGUAACACGUGGGUAACCUGCCCAUAAGACUGGGAUAACUCCGGGAAACCGAGGCUCAUACCGGAUAACAUUUUGAACCGCAUGGUUCGAAAUUGAAAGGCGGCUUCGGCUGUCACUUAUGGAUGGACCCGCGUCGCAUUAGCUAGUUGGUGAGGUAACGGCUCACCAAGGCAACGAUGCGUAGCCGACCUGAGAGGGUGAUCGGCCACACUGGGACUGAGACACGGCCCAGACUCCUACGGGAGGCAGCAGUAGGGAAUCUUCCGCAAUGGACGAAAGUCUGACGGAGCAACGCCGCGUGAGUGAUGAAGGCUUUCUGGUCGUAAAACUCUGUUGUUAGGGAAGAACAAGUGCUAGUUGAAUAAGCUGGCACCUUGACGGUACCUAACCAGAAAGCCACGGCUAACUACGUGCCAGCCGCCGCUGUAA